GACGAACGCUGGCGGCGUGCUUAACACAUGCAAGUCGAACGGAAAGGCCCUGCUUUUGUGGGGUGCUCGAGUGGCGAACGGGUGAGUAACACGUGAGUAACCUGCCCUUGACUUUGGGAUAACUUCAGGAAACUGGGGCUAAUACCGGAUAGGAGCUCCUGCUGCAUGGUGGGGGUUGGAAAGUUUCGGCGGUUGGGGAUGGACUCGCGGCUUAUCAGCUUGUUGGUGGGGUAGUGGCUUACCAAGGCUUUGACGGGUAGCCGGCCUGAGAGGGUGACCGGCGACCUUGGGACUGAGAUACGGCCCAGACUCCUACGGGAGGCAGCAGUGGGGAAUAUUGCACAAUGGGCGGAAGCCUGAUGCAGCAACGCCGCGUGCGGGAUGACGGCCUUCGGGUUGUAAACCGCUUUCGCCUGUGACGAAGCGUGAGUGACGGUAAUGGGUAAAGAAGCACCGGCUAACUACGUG
rnacentral:rRNA from 1 species